rnacentral:rRNA from 1 species
GUGGGAAAAUUAAUAAAAAUAUAAAUAAUAAAAAAAUUUUUAAAAUAAUUUAUUUUAAUGGGGGUUAAAGUAUAUUUAUGGAAAAAAUUAUUUAAUUUAUAGUAAAUUAGUAUUGUGAAAGAAUUUUGAAAUAAAUGAAAAAUGAAAUUAGUUAAAAGUAAAUUUAAUUUAUUGUAUCUUGUGUAUCAGAGUUUAUUAAUUAAAAAUUAUAGUUUUAAUAUUCUCGAAUUUAAAAGAGAUAAUUAAUUAUAAAAGUUAUUGUAGCAUAAAUAUUUUAAAUAAUUAAUUGGAAAUGAAAUGUUAUUCGUUUUUAAAUAUAUCUAGUUUUUUUAGAAAAAAAUUUAAUUUUAUAUUAUUUAAAUAAAAAAUUAAUUAAUUAAUUUUUUAUUUAAAUAAUAUUAUAUUUUAAGGGAUAAGCUUUAAUUUAAAUUUAUAUAAAUUUUAUUUUAAUUUAAUUAAGAUUUUUAUAAUUUAUAUUGUUAAUAAAUUUUAAUUUAUUAUAAAUAAUUUUAUUUAAAAUAAAAUUUAAUUUAAAUUUUAUAUUAUUUAUAAAAAAAAAAUUAAAAUUUUAUAAAAUUUGAUAUAAUGAUAAAAUUAGUAUAUAAUAAGAUAUUAAAAUUAUAAAAUUAUUUUAGUUAAUAAAAAGGAAUUCGGCAAAUAUAUAUAUUCACUUGUUUAUCAAAAACAUGUCUUUUUGAAUUUAAUAUAAAGUCUAAUCUGCCCACUGAUAUUAUAAUAUAUUAAAGGGCUGCAGUAUAUUGACUGUACAAAGGUAGCAUAAUCAUUAGUCAUUUAAUUGAUGACUUGUAUGAAAGAUUGGAUGAAAUAUAAGCUGUCUCUUUAUUAUUUUAUAGAAUUUAAUUUUUUAAUUAAAAAGUUAAAAUAAAUUAAAAAGACGAGAAGACCCUAUAGAGUUUUAUAUUUAAAGUAAUUGAGAUUAUUUAUAAAGUUUUUAAUUAAAAUUAUUUUAAUUAUUUUGUUGGGGUGACAAAAAAAUAUAAAAAACUUUUUUUAUUAUUUAACAUAAAUAAGUGAGUAUAUGAUCCAAUAUUAUUGAUUAUAAGAAAAAAUUACCUUAGGGAUAACAGCGUAAUUUUUUUUUUUAGUUCGAAUAAAAAAAAGAGUUUGCGACCUCGAUGUUGGAUUAAGAUAAAAUUUAAAUGUAGAAGUUUAAAAUUUUGAUCUGUUCGAUCAUUAAAAUCUUACAUGAUCUGAGUUCAAACCGGUGUAAGCCAGGUUGGUUUCUAUCUUUUAAUAAAUAUAAAAUAUUUUAGUACGAAAGGAUCAAAUAUUUAAAUUAAAUUUAUUAAAUAAUGAAUAUUAUUAAUUUAUUUUAAAUAUAUAAUUGAUUUUAUAUAUAAUAUAUAUAUAUAUAUAUAUAUAUAUAAUAUAUAUAUAUAUAUAUAUAUAUAUAUAUAUAUAUAUAUAUAUCU